rnacentral:rRNA from 1 species
GACGAACGCUGGCGGCGCGCCUAACACAUGCAAGUCGAACGAGCGAGAGAGAGCUUGCUUUCUCGAGCGAGUGGCGAACGGGUGAGUAACGCGUGAGGAACCUGCCUCAAAGAGGGGGACAACAGUUGGAAACGACUGCUAAUACCGCAUAAGCCCACGGGUCGGCAUCGACCAGAGGGAAAAGGAGCAAUUCGCCUUGAGAUGGCCUCGCGUCCGAUUAGCUAGUUGGUGAGGUAACGGCCCACCAAGGCAACGAUCGGUAGCCGGACUGAGAGGUUGAACGGCCACAUUGGGACUGAGACACGGCCCAGACUCCUACGGGAGGCAGCAGUGGGGAAUAUUGCACAAUGGGGGAAACCCUGAUGCAGCGACGCCGCGUGGAGGAAGAAGGUCUUCGGAUUGUAAACUCCUGUUGUUGGGGAUGAUAAUGACGGUACCCAACAAGGAAGUUACGGCUAACUACGUG